AUUAAUGAUUUAAUAAUAAUAGUUGAUUUAUAAAGUAUGAUUGUAAGAUAGAUUAUAUUACCUGGUGCGUUGUAAUUCUAAUAAUACCAUAUGGUAUGUUACAUAGAGUCGUAAAGUUCAACUAGGAAAAGUCCUCAAAAUCAGUCUUAUUUGAUAUUUUAUGAGCACUUAUAUUUGAAUCGAAGAAAAAAGGUAAAAUAAUAGAUCAUGUUAAAUUACAUAUUGUUGGGUAUAAAUACUAAAGUUAUUAGUGUCAAUGUGAAAGUGUACACAACAAGUAAUAUAAUUAUCAGACUUGCUACAACAAUCUUAACAGUGCAGAUUUUGUUCUUAUUUAAAAUAAACAAUUAAUGAAACUAAUAUACUAAUUAAAAUGAAAACGCAAUAAAUAAAAUGCAACAAAGAAAAUUAUCACGCUAACACAAGGAUAAUACCAAUAGGAAUAUAGAGUAGUUAAGUGAAUAAACUCUCUUAAUGAUAUUGACUAUUUUUUUAAUGUUUGGCUCGGUUGCUGCAACAUCUGUUACAGCACUGGGCAGAAUCCUUAUGCAUCUUCAGCCGUCGCAUGUUGGAUAUCUUAUAUCUAUAUGCAACCUAACAGUGAUCAGUUGUUAUGCCAACAUAAGAUAUAACAUUACAUGUUUAGGUUCUAUUUACCCUACAAGGUGAAUUCCUCUAUGUCUAGUUCAUCACUAAUUUUAGAUUAAGCAUAACCCUUUUGGGAUAAGUUAAACUCAAUCUAAAACCAAGUAUUGCUUUGAUAUGUUUCACUAAGAUAGGCUAUUUUGCGGCUCUCUCCUAACUUAUAUCAUUAAAUGGGUGAUCAACCGAAAUAAUGAAUAAAAAUAAAUACUAUCAAAACAAACUAUUACAGCAAACAUGCAACAACACAUAUAUUCAGUCAAUAAACCAUCAAGAUUGUUUGUCACUCAACCACAAAUAAAUUUAGUUCAUGGUUUGUAAAAGAAAAAUAAAGAACAAAGUUUCAGCCAUGAAACACAUUCCCAUGAAUAAAUAGAAAACACAAAACCAAGAGAAGGAUAAGAAUGAUUGAACUCCCAAUUGAUCUCUGCAAUUUUUCCUCUUGUGCAACCCUUAAUCUCUCUCUUGAAUCUUGUUUUUCUUUUGUUUCUUUGUGACAAGAUAUGUUUGAAUUCCAUGAGGAACAAUGCUAUCGUAGUGCUAGUUUCUUUCCUUGUAUAUUUUAAAUAGGGUAAUUUUCACUUCCUCCCCUAAGCUUUGGGCUUUUUGCACUUAGUUGGCAAAGAUCUAUUUAUUAGUGAAAACCCCUUGCAAAAUGCAAUCGGUAGUUCUCUGUUAGUCAGUUAUGGGCAAUUUGAUAAUCUAAUUUGACAAGCAAAAGUUUUGCACAUUUCGGUCGACAUGAGUACAAUGAAUUAUCAAGUCAUUCUAAAAAAUCGUGUCUUAUGAUAUAAAUAAAAAGUUGUAAAAAGAAUUCAAAUUUUAAAUCUUUAUCUCUUUGCUCUCAAAUUGAAUUUUUCUCUUUCAUGAAGCUUUGAGAGCUCUGUAUUAGAAGGCUAAAAGUUCUUCAUUGCUAGCAAAGUAGUAUCCAUUGCUUGUGUGAAGUGAAAAAGAAACACUAGACCUGCAUCGUGUAUCGUUCUGAAUUUCACUGACACGCCAAAGACUUGAAUUGCUAUGUUGAAGCCGAUAAUAGAUUAGUUUCGAACAAAGCUUUUUUUUUUUGGGUUCGUUUAGAGUGUAUUGAUACUACUGUGAGUUGUUUGUAAAUGUCGAGUGGGUGCUUGAUUUGUUCAUUGAGACAACUUCGAUAAGCUUUAUGGAAUUGUGAAGCAUAAAAUCGAGAAAAAAAUUUUCAAGAUAAAAUAUGUCCUAUUUUGGGUAUUUGCAAGCAUAUGGUUUCGUCUUAUGUUGUGGUAGAUUAUGCAUUUGAUUUAUGCGAUGUGAUACUCAUGUACUUUUCUAAGUUCAUUUGUGUAGGCCUCAAAUAUAUAUGAAAGUAUAAAUAAAAUUUUUUAAGUUUUAAUGAAGGUUAUACCGAGCUAAAAAAUUGAAGUUUAAAGCACUUAAUAAUCAUUGUUUCUAAUUACAUAGCGUGUGAUAUGCCUCAAUAUUGUUAAAUUAGAUAAUUUAUAAAAUGUUUGACAACUUGAGAUGUUAUCAUGUAGAAUGAUUGAUAAUUCUAUGAAAUGAGAGUUAUCAUGACACUUUUAGAUUUAAAUCAAGAUUACUUAGAGAGUAAAUGAUAUGUUUUUAUUCUAUUUUAGUUAUAUUUGCAUGAACAUCCAUUUUAGUUGAUUUUUAAUAAAUUUAGUUUGUUUUAGAUUAAUUUGUGCUUAGAUCAUAUAUAUAAUUAUAAGUGACCGGAAGCUUAAAUUUUAUGUAACAUGCAGUAACCGUUGCUGUAGCACCAUUGCUGUAGCAAUCCUGGAGUAUUGACAGAGAAGAUUUCGUGCGAGAUACCUAGAAGAUCGCGAUAUGGAGUUUCCAAAACUGGAUGAUGCGUGCCCUAGACUUCCGGUUGCUCUAAUUUUAAGCUAUAAAAGGAGCACACACGCAAAGAAAAAGGGAGAGCUGUUACCCAAAGAAUAAACGGCAGAGAAAAAAAAAGAAAAACGAAAAUCAAGAGAGAGAUUGAAGGUUAAUAGAGAAGAAAUCGCAGAGAUCAAACGGCAAUCAAUAUUUCUUCUUAUUUUCUUGUUUUUUACUUAUCUAUGGGGAUGUAUUUGAUGGCUAAAACUCUUUUAUUUAUUUUUCUAUCGCAAAUUAUGAACUAAAUUUGAUUGUAGUUGAGUAAUAAAUGAACUUAAUGGAUAUUUGACUAAUAUACGCGCAAUGUUAUGUAUUUUUAUAACAUUUUUUCUUAAUUGUAUUUAUUUUAAUUCUCUAUUUCGGCUGACUAUCCAUUUAAGGACACUAGCUAAGAAAGAGCCUAAAAGAAGUCUGACUUAGUGGAUCUCAUUAAGAUAAAACUUGGUUUUAGAUUAAGUUUUUUAAGUUGAUUAAUCUCAAUUUGAAUAGGGUCAUACUUGAUUUAAAAUUAGUGAUGACCUAGAUAUAUGGAUUCACCUUGUAGGGUAAAUGGAACUUAGGUCGUUUAAUGCUAUUUUAAUAUUGACGUAACAAUUGGUUACUGUUAAGUUGCAUUAGAUAUAAGAUAUCCAACAGGCGACAGUUAAGGAUGCAUGAAGGAUUCUGCCCAGUGUUGUAGUAGAUGUUGUAGUAACGGUACUGUAAUUGAAAAAUAGUCAAUGCCAUUAAGUAAGUUUAUUCACUCAACUACUCAAUUCCCAUUAAUUUUAUCCUUGUGUUUGACGUGAGAAUUUUCUUUGUUGCAUUUUUAUUUUAAUUAGUUUAUUAGUUUUAUUAGUUGCUUUAUUUUCAAUUAAAAUAAAAUUGUACUGUUAAGGUUAUUGUAGCAAAUUUGAUAAUAUUAAUCCUUGUGGAGACGAUCUGAAUACUUAUCAGUAUAUUAUUUGUCGUAUACACUUGUACAUUGACACCUAUAGCAUUAGAGAUUGUACACAUCACUGGUUAUAAUCUCUAAGUUAGUUAGAUGCUAUUGAAUUUGUUAGUUUUGUUAUGUAUUAAAUUUGUUGGCAUCCAAUAAAUGGUAUGUUGUAUUUUUAUGUUACUGCCAGACACCUACACUUUGCAUUUACUAUUUAAUACAUUUUAGCUUUUUCUUGAACAUUAAUAGUAUUUAUUUAUGUUGUUUUAUUACAUUGCAGUAUUGUGCAUUAUGACGUUAAAGUAGUAGUUGAUGGCAAAGUGACUGAGAUUAGUUUCAUUAUUCCUGAGCACUAUUCACUAGUCAAGCUUUGGGCUAACAUUAGGAACAUUCGUUGGGAUGAGCCCAUCAGACAUGCUACUGGAACUAGAGCUCAGUUGUUGUUGCCUUGGGCAUCUGAUGGCAGAGAAUUGUUUAGUGAUAGCGAUAUGCAGCAACGGGUCAAAGAAUUGAAGGAGAAGAGAUAUAGAUGGGCAAGACUCAAAAUGACAGCUUAUAUGAGGUAGGAACCUACAAUAAUACCUUUAAAUAAACAAAAUAAAAGCUGAUCCUGAGAUUAAUUGGGAUGAACUAGAUGAUGUUCAAGAAAUUAACAACAAUGAGAGUACUGUGACACAAUUCAGCCUUUAUAGUAGUUAUUUACUUGAAGAUGACAUGACCGUUCACCGUAGCUCUAAGAAUUCUAGAAAAAGUGGUGCAUGUUCAAUUGAAGUAGUUUAUACUUUUAAAUCAACUUCAAGUGAUGAAAUAGAGCAGUAUAUUGUUGAACUUAAAGAUGCCGAUGUGCCUAUUCUUAGGGAUGACGAGAAUCUAAGAUCAAAUGGUGAAGAAAGUGACCAUAGUCUUAAUGAUUAUUAGUUAGAUGAUGAGACAGAUGAUGAAUUUGAUUUUUCUGAUGAGGAAGUUGCUGCUUAUGUGAGGUAUGACACCAAUUCAAGUGGAUUUGAGUUCACACCAAAUGGAGAUAACAUUGUUCUAAGGCUUGGUCAGUUGUCUGUAGAUGUAAAAAGGUGUUGAUGGUAUAUGCUAUAAGAAAUGGGUUCAGAGUGACAAUUAGAUGUGCUAAAUCAAGAUGUAUCAUGGAGAAUUCAUGUUAGUCCAAAUUGGAACAAUAAGUCAUUCCAAAUUAAGGUUCUAUGCGAUGUUUAUACAUGUGGUGGGAUUGAUCAUGACAAUAAAAAAAGCUACUUCAACCUGGAUUGCAACCACUUAUCUCCAUAUCUUUAACUAAACUCUUGAAGUUAGUGUUAACUUGAUAGCAGUUGAUCUCUUGAAAACUUGUGGCAUUGAGUGCAGUGUUCAUAGGUUAUAUAGAGCAAAACAAAAAGCAUUAGAACUACUUGACCAAGAUAACAAGAAAAGUUACAACAAACUGAGUAGGUACCAAUAGGCUUUGAUGAAGUAUAACUCUAGAUCUAUAGUAGCUAUUGAGAGGGAAUUGAAUGGAGAUACAUCAUUUAGUAUUCAAAAGAUUUUUCAUGAUGUUUGAUACAAUCUGGAGGGUUUUUUCUUUAAGGCAAUAGACAAUUGAUAAGGGUUAAUGGCUGCCAUCUAAAAGGGCCAUAUAAAGGAGUUUUAUUGAUUGCAGUUGGCAUUAAUGCUAACUAUAGGAUACAUCCACUAGCAUAAUGUAUAGAGAGUGAAAACAUUCACUCUUUAGAGUUCUUCAAUGGAAAAGUUAAAUAACCAGAUUGGUUGUAAUAGUAGAGAAGGCCUAUGUUUCAUGAGUGAUCGACAAAAAAGAAUGUUCAAUGCAAUUGAUAGAGUGUUUCCUAAUACAACUAAUAAAUACUGUUGUGGGCAUAUUUCGGCCAAUUUGAAGCAAAAUUUUCCUGACAUUUUGUAGAAAAAGUCUUUUAGAGGGUAUGUAGAAGUCUAAACUACUCAUAAUUUAGUGAAAGCAUUAAGAAAUGGAAUAAAAUUAGUGAUGCAACUCAUUAGUGGCUCAUGAACAUUCCAUAUGCUUACUGGUCAAACACACUUUCCCUAAGCACACCAAGUGCAAUCACGUGACUAAUAACAUGACUGAAUCGCUCAACAACUAGAUCAACAAUUUUAGAGACAUGCCUAUUGUCAAGAUGCUUGAAGAGAUAAGGAGAACGAUCAUGAAACUUAUUCAUAAAAGGAUUGAGGUUGCCAAGAAGUAGAAUGAACAUCUACUACUUCUUGAUAUGAGGAAGAUUGUGGAAACAAGAACUAAAUCAAAAGGUUUGACAAUGAUAUUUGAUCAUGAAAACACCUUUGAAGUGAUGGAAAAUUUCUCCAAAGUGUUUGCGAUAGAUUUAGGUAAAAGACUUGUGAUUGUAGGGAAUGGUGGAUAUUUGUCUUACCUUGCAAGCAUUAGGGGUGUUCGUGGAUUGGAUUUUGCGGAUUGAACAUCAAUCCAUAUCCGAUCCAUGAUUUUGCGAAUUAUAAAUUUUUAAUCCAAUCCAAUUCACGGAUUGAUGAAAUUCAAUAUAAAUUCAAUCCAUACGUUUACGGAUCGGAUGUGAAAUGCGAAUUUGACCCAAUUCACAUCCAAUCCACCAUUUUGCGAAUUAGUUUGAUGGCUAAAAAAAUUUAAUUCUAUCAUAUCCAUGAACUAACUAAAUAAAAAAUUAAUAUAAAAAUGAUUUUCCUAUUGAUUAAAUUCAAGAUUAAAUAAGGUUUAAAUAAAUUAAUUGUUUAAAUAAAGCUAGAAAAUACAUUCAAAGAUUCAAAAUAUAACACACCAAAAAGAAAAAAAUCUCAUUUGUUUAAAUCAGUACAUGAAAAUUAACUACUUAGGAAGUUAUGUUUGUAUAUUUAAUUAUUUUUAUUUUAUA
rnacentral:lncRNA from 1 species